rnacentral:rRNA from 1 species
AGAGUUUGAUCCUGGCUCAGGAUGAACGCUAGCGGCAGGCCUAACACAUGCAAGUCGAGGGGUAUAGUUCUUCGGAACUAGAGACCGGCGCACNNGUGCGUAACGCGUAUGCAAUCUACCUUUUACAGGGGAAUAGCCCAGAGAAAUUUGGAUUAAUGCCCCAUAGUAUAUAUGAAUCGCAUGGUUUAUAUAUUAAAGUUCCAACGGUAAAAGAUGAGCAUGCGUCCCAUUAGUUAGUUGGUAAGGUAACGGCUUACCAAGACUAUGAUGGGUAGGGGUCCUGAGAGGGAGAUCCCCCACACUGGUACUGAGACACGGACCAGACUCCUACGGGAGGCAGCAGUGAGGAAUAUUGGACAAUGGGCGCAACUUGAAUCCAGCCAUGCCGCGUGCAGGAAGAAGCAUCUAUGGUGUGUAACUGCUUUUGUACAGGAAGAAACACUCCCUCGUGAGGGAGCUUGACGGUACUGUAAGAAUAAGGAUCGGCUAACUCCGUGCCAGCAGCCGCGGUAAUACGGAGGAUCCAAGCGUUAUCCGGAAUCAUUGGGUUUAAAGGGUCCGUAGGCGGUUUGAUAAGUCAGUGGUGAAAGCCAUCGCUCAACGAUGGAACGGCCAUUGAUACUGUCAGACUUGAWUUACUAAGGAAGUACUUAGAUUUUGUAGUGUWRCGGUGAAAUGCUUAGRUAUUCCAUGGCUUCCCAAUUGCGAAGCAGUACUACUAGUGAUUGACGCUGAUGGACGAAAGCGUGGGAGCGAACAGGAUUAGAUACCCUGGUAGUCCACGCCGUAAACGAUGGAUACUAGCUGUUGGUGCAAACUCAGUGGCUAAGCGAAAGUGAUAAGUAUCCCACCUGGGGAGUACGUUCGCAAGAAUGAAACUCAAAGGAAUUGACGGGGGCCCGCACAAGCGGUGGAGCAUGUGGUUUAAUUCGAUGAUACGCGAGGAACCUUACCAAGGCUUAAAUGUAGUUUGACAGAUUUGGAAACAGAUUUUUCUUCGGACAAAUUACAAGGUGCUGCAUGGUUGUCGUCAGCUCGUGCCGUGAGGUGUCAGGUUAAGUCCUAUAACGAGCGCAACCCCUGUUGUUAGUUGCCAGCGAGUCAUGUCGGGAACUCUAACAAGACUGCCAGUGUAAACUGUGAGGAAGGUGGGGAUGACGUCAAAUCAUCACGGCCCUUACGCCUUGGGCUACACACGUGCUACAAUGGACGGUACAGAGAGCAGCCACUACGCAAGUAGGAGCGAAUCUAUAAAACCGUUCUCAGUUCGGAUCGGAGUCUGCAACUCGACUCCGUGAAGCUGGAAUCGCUAGUAAUCGGAUAUCAGCCAUGAUCCGAUGAAUACGUUCCCGGGCCUUGUACACACCGCCCGUNNAGCCAUGGAAGCUGGGGGUACCUGAAGUCGGUGACCGCAAGGAGCUGCCUAGGGUAAAACUGGUAACUAGGGCUAAGUCGUAACAAGGUAGCC